UGAAUUGCGAGAAAUAAUGUCAACUUUGUUUUUUCAAAAAAUGAGACUUUCAGAUCCGAACUUUUGCAGGAAAUCUGCAGGGGAAAAAAUUUCUGUAUGACUUAUUAUUUCCGAUAAAAUGUUGGACCGGCUCACUUCGUUGAUAAAGUUAUUUCACAGUGAGGAGUUAGCCACUUAUCAGUUCGUGUGUACAUUCGAUUUCAAAAUCUCACGAGAUUUAAAAGGAUUUCAGAGAUUUCAAAUAUUUCAUAAGAUGAAUGGUGUACAUCAGAUUUCAAGGCAACAGGAAUUUUCACAAUUGAAACAGCGUCAAUGAAAAUUUCUUUGACAACGUACUUCAGCUUCCAAAUGGAAAAAGAUCACCACUACUUCUGGUUAUAAUGUUCACUCACGGCGGAAGAUUCAUUGAAAGAAGUGCUUCUUCAAUGCGAUACGGCCCAAAAUAUGUGCUUGACGAAGACGUGCUCCUUGUUACUUUCAACAACCGCUGGGGCCAUUCGGGUUUUUGAGCACUGGUGACGAAGUGGCGUCUGGAAACUGGGUCCUCAAGGUCAGUUUUUAAAUGGGUUCAGGAUUACAUCGAAUAUUUUGGUCGUGAUCUUGAUCAAGUGACGCUUUCGAGACAGCUCAGGUGGCGUUUGUGUUCACUUCCCGACGCUCCUCAAUGCCACAGUCGGUAAGAAUUAACGACUCCUUUUUAAUAAAUUCUAAAAGUCAAUUAAUUUUCAGCCAUAGCAUUGAAUUCCUUAGAGGUUCUUGCUGACAGAAAAUGUAAUCUUGUAAAUUUAUCUAGUGAGCUCUGCAAGGCCAGUCAUUUUUUGUCGUUGACUCAAUGGAGCUUUUCCAAUACUUUUUUCAGCUUGUAGCUUAUACAACAGGUUGUGAAGUAUACCUGUAGUAUUCUGUUCAAGGUUAAACGACGAUUACAUGAAAAUUCGUCGAAAACUUUAUAGAAGUUCGAAAUUAUUUCACUCGUGAGAGAAACAAUGCGUAAAAUGAGGUUAGCUUGCUCGGACAGUAGUCCGAGAUAUUUACUUUUUCAAGCAGCAAGCUUUUUCUUUCAUAUUUCCUGACUUAGCGUUUUAUGAGAAUUCUACAAAGUUCGAGAACUUUCUGAAAAAAUUCGAUGUCACACUCACAGUUUUGUUGAGUUUGAUUUACCAACCGGCUCCUCUCAAACCUGACACUCCUCAUCGGUGACACUUACUUCGUAUAUCCUAUCUUCAACGCAGUUCGAAAGCAGCUCGCUCUGGCGGAGAAUCGGCAGUUUUAUAAUGAAUGAAAACUAUACGUUUUGGUUCAACAGCCAAUUACGGUGUGGCGCAUGGUGACGACCUGAUUAACCUCUUCCCAAGAAAUCAGUUUUUCAAAAAUCUGUAGAACCAAACCAUGUGUGAUACCGACUUCCAAAUGGAUGACAUCAUGGUGCUUCUAAAAUAACUCCUAUAUCUUCUACUCAACGUUCUACUCAACGGAAGGCGAUUACUUACAGAUAGGAAAACAUUUCAACCUUACACUAAAGCAGCGGUUUACUUCUUCAAACAGCGAAUACAAUUUUGGGAUGGUUUGGUUGGACAACAUAUCAACACGCAAGCAGAAAUUGAUAGGAAUAGUAAUUCCGAAACAAAUGUUUUGAGAAAAAAUUUAGUAAGCUGAUGUGAAACUUGCCUCUCAAGGGUUUGUCGGAUGACCGACCGAGUAAGUGAAAUGUAUUUGGCACUUAUUUUUCUCUUCUGCAAAGUAAUCGAAUUCUUUCAAACUUUAGGGAAUGAUGGAAAUAGCAAUUACGCUUUUAUGGUCAUUGAGAAUAGUUAAGAAAAUUAACGAAAACGCUGUAAUAAAUAUACUUGCAGCUGAUUCUCAUUAACUUUGAAGCUAUGGCGUUUUAAUCUACAACCAAGAGCCAUUUUUUCAACUUUUCCAUGAAUUUCUCAAACCUUCCGUACUUGCUAAACAAGCGUGAUCAUAAAUUCUAUAAUUUCCCAAAUGUUAAAUCGACGAGUUUAUCGAUCAGAAAAGAAAAACGUGUCAGCAAUUACGAUUUGCUCAAGUGGUCGGUAGAAUAUAA